rnacentral:hammerhead_ribozyme from 1 species
CUUCAAUUGAUCAGUUUCAGAGUGAAUAUCAGCUGUGAGAUGCAGGCACAUGCAGCUGACGAUCGACAAAUAGGACGAAACGCGCGUCUUGAAU